AAGGAAGUAUUUUGACUUACUCCCACGUUCCCCCCCAAAAAACACAUGCAUGGCAGGCUGAUUGGACGCUGUAAAUUGUCCCGAGGUGUGGGCGUGGAUGGUUGUUUUUUUUUUUUGUUGCUGAUGCGCAGAUGCACAUACGUGGGAGAAAAAGGAAGGGCACAUUUGGGACGCUUGCAUUGAAAGGAGUCGACGAGACGAUAUGGUCUUGAAAGACGGAGUUCUCGCAUCCCAAAAUCCCCCCGGGAGGCCGAGGCACCAUCGUUCCGGACUGCCUGCGCGCUUACGUCACACAAAAGAUAAACGAUUCGCUCGGAGGGCGUGUUGUCCCCCCUUGAGACCAUGCGAUUAGGGCAAAUUGAAGAACACCAAAUACCUACUUGCACAGUGGCUGGUCAACAUUUGGGGUUGGGGGCUUAAACGCAAGGAGUCACGCUAUUACCGACCUCACGUGAUAUAAUAUUCCUGCUGAAUUGGCCAGCUUUGUUCCAAACAAGAAACAAAUUGACAAGAGCUUCUUGGAUAAAAAAAAACACUUUAUUCUUUCUGUUACGUCUUUAAAGUGCAGUCUUGAGAUGUUGAGACUUCUUGACAAAGGAGCGACUGACACAAGAAACCAAAACACCCCCCCCCCUAAAAAAAAACUCUAGUUUUGAGCAAGAGAAAACAUUAUUA